AGCGGCGGAUGGGUGAGUAACACGUGGGGAACCUGCCCCUAAGUCUGGGAUACCAUUUGGAAACAGGUGCUAAUACCGGAUAAUAAAGCAGAUCGCAUGAUCAGCUUUUGAAAGGCGGCGUAAGCUGUCGCUAAGGGAUGGCCCCGCGGUGCAUUAGCUAGUUGGUAAGGUAACGGCUUACCAAGGCGACGAUGCAUAGCCGAGUUGAGAGACUGAUCGGCCACAUUGGGACUGAGACACGGCCCAAACUCCUACGGGAGGCAGCAGUAGGGAAUCUUCCACAAUGGACGCAAGUCUGAUGGAGCAACGCCGCGUGAGUGAAGAAGGUUUUCGGAUCGUAAAGCUCUGUUGUUGGUGAAGAAGGAUAGAGGUAGUAACUGGCCUUUAUUUGACGGUAAUCAACCAGAAAGUCACGGCUAACUACGUGCCAGCAGCCGCGGUAAUACGUAGGUGGCAAGCGUUGCCCGGAUUUAUUGGGCGUAAAGCGAGCGCAGGCGGAAAAAUAAGUCUAAUGUGAAAGCCCUCGGCUUAACCGAGGAACUGCAUCGGAAACUGUUUUUCUUGAGUGCAGAAGAGGAGAGUGGAACUCCAUGUGUAGCGGUGGAAUGCGUAGAUAUAUGGAAGAACACCAGUGGCGAAGGCGGCUCUCUGGUCUGCAACUGACGCUGAGGCUCGAAAGCAUGGGUAGCGAACAGGAUUAGAUACCCUGGUAGUCCAUGCCGUAAACGAUGAGUGCUAAGUGU
rnacentral:rRNA from 1 species